rnacentral:lncRNA from 1 species
AUGAGCACACGGGUUCGAUCCCUGGCCUCGCUCAGUGGGUUAAGGAUCCAGUAUUGUGACUGCUGUGGUGCUGGUUCAAUCCCUGGCCUGGGAACUUCUGAAUGCCGUGGGAGGAAAAGGAUGGUAUUGCAGAAAAUACAGACCUACGGAGGAAUGAAGACUGCCAAACAUGGACAGAUGGCAUUGAAAGCAAAGAAGGAAGCCCCUGCCCCUUCCAAAGCUGAAGCCAAAGCCAAGGCCAAGAAAGCAGUGCUGAACAAUCCACAGCCACACAAAAAACGUUUGGUUGUCACCCACCUUCCCAAGUCCCAGAACACUGCAACUCAGAAGGCAGCCCAAAUAUCCUUGGAAGAGAGCCCCUGGGAGAAGCAGUCUUGACCACUCUGCCAUUAUCAAUUUCCCUCACCACCAAGUCAGCCUCGAAGAAGACGGAAGUCAACAACGUGCCUGUAUGCAUUGUGGAGGUCAAGGCCAACAAGCACCAGGCAGAAGAGGCUGUGAAGAAGCCCCAUGACAUUGCCUGGCUAAAGUCGACGCCUUGCUCAGGCCUAAGGGGGAGAAGAGGCACAUGUUUGACUGGUUCCCAACUAUGAAGCUUUGGAUGUUGCCAACAAAGUUGGAAUCAUCUAAACUGAGUCCAGCUGGCUAAUUCUAAAUAUAAAAUUUCUCAUGGAGGAAAAAAAGGGAUACUAUGAACAAUUCACUCUGAGGACCCGGAGGAGGGACCGGGCAGCAGGGGAACAGUGACAUUUUACAUUUUGAAUUUCGUCCUGUGUGCACGAAUAGUGUGUUUAACCAAUAACUGACAAACACGUGAGCCCAGGCACACGUUGAAGGGAGGAAUCCGUGGUGGCCUAGCAGCUGGGGACUCAGCAUUGUCCCUGCUGUGGCUCCAGUUACUGCUGUGGCUCAGGUUCGGUUCCUGGCCCAGGAACUUCCCCAUCCCACAGGCGUGGCCAAAAAAAAGAAAAAGA